GCUGCUGUAGCCCAGAUGGUAGAGGCAUCGCCAGUAGGGAUGUCGAAGGUCGCUAGUUUAAAUCCAGUCAGCAGUA